CACCCCUGGCAAUGGGCAGAGAAACCUUGUUGAUUAGCAUUGUCUUGUUAUCAGUCAGGGGCAGAGCAAACAGCCAUCCCUGUUCAUCCUAGCUUGAUGCAUGGCUUGACCAAAGCUGUCUUAUACCUAGGACACAUAA